rnacentral:lncRNA from 1 species
UCAAAAUUGUUGACAUGUUUACUAAAAAUAUUCAUCUCAAAUAGUUAUUUUUUUUUAAAAAAAUCAAGAAAUAAUUAAUUAUUUUUUUAACUCUAUCCUUAUUAUUAAUUAUUCUAGAAUUAAGUGGCACAUAGAUAAAUGAAGAUUAAGGAAUUGAUAAGGAAUAUAUUAAUUAAAUAACACUCUUUUUUUUUUUUACUAAUUACAUAAUUAUUUUUUGGAUAUAUUUAAUUAGAGGUUGGG